CGGCAACCCCUAUCUCCUGCGUUCAAGCGAUUCUCCUGCCUCAGCCCCCUGAGUAGCUCCUCAGUACAGGCGGGUGCCUCCAUGCCCGGCUAAUUUGUUGUAUUUUUAGUAGAGACAGGGUUUUGCCAUGUUGGCAAGGCUGGUCUUAAACUCCUGACCUUAGGUGAUCCACCCACCUCGGCCUCCCAAAGUGCUGGAAUUACAGGCGUGAGCCACUGCACCUGGCCUCAAUGUCGUCGUCUUCUCCUUUUCCUUCUCCUUCUUCUUCAUUUUUUCUUUUUUUUUUUCUUUUUUCUAGAUACAGAGUCUCGCUCGAUCACCCAGGCUGGAGUGGAGUGGCGCCAUCUUGGCUCACUGCAAGCUCCGCCUCCCGCGUUCUCGCCAUUUUCCUGCCUCAGUCUCCGGAGUAGCUGGGACUACAGGCGCCCGCCACCACGCCUGGCUAAUUUUUUUGUUUUUUUAGUAGAAACGGGGUUUCACCGUGUUAGCCAGAAUGGUCUCGAUCUCCUGACCUCGUGAUCCACCUCAGCUUCCCAAAGUGCUGGGAUUACAGGCAUGAGCCACCGAAACCGGAUGAUGCCUCCUUCUUAAUUUCCAGUCUUGUUGGCUAAUAUCAGAUUUGCUGUCUGGAGAGAUAUAUGAAAUUUAAAGAUGGCAAUCCAUUCCCUUCCCAUCAUGCUUCUUUUUCUACAGCUGAAUACAUUGGAAGACUAGGAAAUCGCAUCAUCAGUGUAGAUAUCCUUCUUUCCACCCUCACGCCAUCGCAUAAGAUAACCCUCAAGGUACAGAGACAGUUACUGUAACCAUUUGCUUUUUAUUCUCCCAUCUCACUCCCUCAGCUAAAUGAGCUUAAUCUUCUCCAUUUGGGUAGCACUUCAGAAAAGCUGAUUUUGGACAGGAAAAAACUCAGGAGAACUACUUCUCUGAGUCACGGAAUCAGUAGCGAGUUGAUUCUAAUGCCAUAUGCCUGCAUCCUGACUUUACUUAACCUACACCUUCACCUAGGUUCUUUACUGACUUUUUUUUUUUAACCAGAAUUUUUCUCUGUGUACCAGUAUCAUGGUAUCCAUAUUAUGAUCUGUACCACUGACCACUAUUUUGGCUACAUCUCAGACCUGCUCUUUGCUUGGCCAGUUGUAUAAAGUUAGCCUGUGUAUCCACCUUUUGCCUCUUUAUGUUGCCCACUUUCCUGCCUCUUUUAUCUUAAGAAGCUACUGACCAGUUCUAUGUUGCUGAACUUGUGAUUUGGUUUCCUCUUCUGCCCUGAAAAUACCUAUCAGCCCUGUCCUCAUGCUUCUCAAGUCUCAGCUUGACAUAAUCUGUAGGUUGUUUUAGUGUAUAGUGCUUAGGUUGCUGGGUGAGUUGGUGAUAGGAACUGAAUUGUAUCUCUCUCCAAAUUCAUAUGCGGAAGCCCUAACCCCCAAUGUGACUGUCCUUGAAGAAAGGGCCAGGUUAAGUGAGGUCAUAAGGAUGGAACCGUAAUUCAAUAGCACUGAGGGAUGUGCUUGCAAGAAAAGGAAGAGACAUCACGGAUGCACAAGCACAAAGAAAAGGCCAUGUGAGGACACAGUGAGAAGGCAGCCAUCUGCAAGCCAAAGAGAGAAGCCUCAGAGAAAACAAACCUGUCAGCACCUUGAUCUGGAAACUCCAGCCUCCAGAGCUGUGAAGAAAUAAAUUUCUGUUGUUCAAGCCACUCCAUCUGUGAUUUUUAUAUGGCAGCCCUGGCAGACUGAUACAGUUGCAAUGAAGAAUAAUUGGGGAUGUUUACAUCUACCCAAGAAGAAUAAUUCGAUUUAUACUGGAUUACCUAUAUAUUGAGUUUCCUAAGUUACAUGCAGUCAAACUUCCGAACUUUGUUGUUUAGCUUUUGUUUGUCUGUGUGCACUUAGUUAUGCAAUGCUAAAUAAUGAUGAUAUGUCAUCUUAGAGAUAUAGCUUUAGUGUACUUGUUCUCUGAAGUGGAUAUUUAUGUCUGAUAUAAUAUCACAGAACCAUCUGAAGAAAUGGGUCCUGAGAGACAGCCAAUAAAAUAUAUAUAUUGCUGAAAC
rnacentral:lncRNA from 10 species